UAACCUGUCUUUGUGCAGUGAAAUAGCCUCAGUGAGAUGCUUAGAGGCAUCAUCAGGAUUGGACCUUAGCACUAGCAACCUGCAGCAGACUGCAAUGGCUCUGCCUUUAAUACACUCCAAACCCUGUGUGUUAUACAGCCGUAAUAUUGAACACAUGAGGCAGACAGGUGCCCUGAGGCAUUCUCCGUAAAAACUUUCAUAUCACAACGGAACUGAACGUACCAUUAUAACACCACGUCUCCUCUUCUUCACGGUGAUGCUGUAGAAGACUGCUUCCACUGGUGA